GUCUGGCCCAAGUCAGGUUGAGCCAGAAGCUCCAGCCUUCACAAUUCUCCAUAAUGGGAAAGACAGCUGAGAAUUGGGGAAUUGCUCCAAACUACUAUGUCUUCUGCAGAAAUCCAGAGCUGAUUCUCUGGCAAGUCCUGUCCUCUAUUCCCUCUCUUCAUGUGCUUAGAGACCAGUUAGUUCCAGGACAUGUUCCUGCUCCAUGAGCAAGAACUUCAGAAGACACAGGGCUAUAUUAUAACCUCUCAAAUUGCAUAUUGGAUCCAGCUACUCUCUACUCAAGAAGACCCUAGGGUUACUGUGACCAAGGACCCAAGCCUUCACCUGAAGAGCUGACACUUCAUAAGUGAAGCAGGGCUGAGGUGUCUUUUUCUCUCUCUGUCAAAAAAGAAGGAAAGAAAGAUAAAAAGAAAAGGAAGAAGAACACAACAAGUACCACCUUGGUAUGCUUCACUUCAGACUGUGUCCAGAGACAUUAGGCAUGGAAUAUCAACGCUUCACCCGCAUUACUCUGCCACCAGGUUCCAGAUGCUAGCAUGAUGCCAACCAGACUUCCCUGGACAGACAACUCCACCAAUAUGUCCUGGAGCUCUGAUUCCCCAGAACCCCUCCCCUAGUAGGGAAAGAGAGAGACAGGCUGGGAGUACGAACUGACCUGUCAAUGCCCAUGUUCAGCAGGGAAGCAAUUACAGAAGCCAGACCUUCCACCUUCUGUAUCCCACAAUGACUUUGGGUCCAUACUUCCAGAAGGUUAAAGAACAGGAAAGCUAUCAAGGGAGGGGAGGGGAUAUGGACUUCUGGUGGUGGGAAUUGUGUGGAGUUGUACCCCUAUUAUCCUAUGGUUUUGUCAGUGUUUCCUUUUAAUAAAUUAAAAAAAGAAGAAGAAGAAGUAAAGAAAAAAGAAAAAAAAGUGGGGCUGGGUGGUAGUUCACCCAGUUGAGCACAUACGUUAUCUCGUGCAAGGACCCAAGUUCAAGCCCCUGCACCCCAUAUGCAGGGGAGGAAACUUUAUAAGAGGUGAAGAAGUGCUGCAUGUGUCUCUCUGUCUCCAUCUGUAUCUCCUCCACCCCUUUCAAUUUUUCUGUUCUGGCACAGAGAAAAACAAAACAAAACGAGAACAAAAAGCAAAGAAAGGGAAAUAAUGCCCCUAGGAGUGGUGAAUCUGUGGUGUAGGCAGUAAGCUCCAAUAAUAACCCCAGCAUCAAUAAACAUCAAUAAAAGUAUAACAAUAUGGGUGGGAGGUAGAUAGCAUAAUGAUUAUGCAAAGAGACUUUCCUGCCUAAGGCUCGGAAAUCCCAGGUUCAAUCCCUCGCACCACCAUAAACCAGAGAUGAUCAGUGCUCUUGUCAAAAAAUAAAAAUAUAAACAAACAAACAAAUUAAAUGUUAAGAAAAACAAACCGACAGUAGUUUGGGAUGUGGCACAACGGCUAGAGCACUGGACUCUUGAGUAUGAGGUCCUGAAUUCUAUCCCUGACAGCACAUGUACCAAAGUGAUGUCUAGUUCUUUCUCUCUCUCUCUCCUAUCUUUCAAAUAAAUAAAUAAAUAAAUAAAAUAUUUUUUAAAAACUGACAUACCCAGGCACUGCGUACAAAAUACAUGCAGUGCUUUUGUU